AGAUAACAUUAAGUGGUCUUGCUAUGCAAGAACACUUAAUAACCACACAAUACAAUUAUUGGAAACAUACCACAGCUGCCAUAAGUUUAUGUACAGUAUGCAUGUGUGAUCCACAGCUCGGCACACACUCUCUGAGAAAGACAGGGGAGCCUUCCGUAUUCCGUAUUGUUCAUGUACACAGCAUAUACAAUAAAAAUCAGCACUAAUAGUCUAUAGCUGGAGCUCCAAGAAGGUUGACUAACUACCCUGGUGGGCGGCCUUGUACUAGUAUUUUUUCAAAUCGCUGCCUCUUUCAGCCAUUCAAGUG